ensembl:lncRNA
AUAUAUAUAUAUAUAUAUAUAUAUAUAUAUAUAUAUAUAUAUAUAUAUAUAUCUGUACAUACACACCUCUCUCUCCAGCACCCUGGCUAGCACACUGAGGAAAAGGUUACAGCAGUUACAUCUGCUAUAAAUCUUCAUGCUAGAUGUCCGAUUUCUAGCUUUUAAGUCUUUUUUUUUUUCUCUUCCACCCCCAUACUUAAUGACAUAGAAUGUAAUGAGUAGUGCGUGCAGAAAGCUGGCGUGGUAACUGUGUGUUACAUACCUGUUGAGGGUGUUCUCCUGCAGAUAGAGCGAAAAAGUGACAGAGAGUGAGAGAGAGAAAGAGAUUGUGAGAAAGAAAUGAAGAGAAAGAGCAAAACAAAGUGUUGUAAAGUUUAAAUUUCCUAAUUGGCCCGAUGGUGUAUGUUCUACUGCACGUUUUGAGAUAGAACAUGUAAACCUUUAGUUAUCAAAUAAAAGUAAGUGUGUGUGUGUGUGUGUGUGUGUGUGUGUGUGUGUGUGUGUGUGUGUGUGUGUGUGUGUGUAAAUGUGAGCAUGCAUGUAUACGUGUUUUUGGCCUUUGGGUCUUCCUGUGAGUCACUCCCAUGAGAUAAACCCAGUAAAGCUGUCCUAGUCCUCUCUAAUUCCUCAUUAGCUCACGGCAGGCUGUCUCAGGGGGAUUUGCACUGCCUGUGGUGUGUGUGUAUGCGUUAGUUCAGGCUCACUAGAUCUGAACGUGAAACACUAUGGGGCUUCUUAGUGGGAGGCUGCGGCAGGCCAGGUGUGUGUUCACUGCCAGGUGUGUGUAUAUGCCAGGUUCAGGAGCAGGGGAUAAGUAUGUCAGCACAACAGUGUGUUAAGUAGCAUUCAAUUUGGGAUUAUGCGCAGAAAGGAAGAGACAGUGCGAGAGAGAGAGAGAGAGAGAGAGAGCUCUUUGAAUCAGUGCUUCUUCAGUUUAUCAGUUGAAUUAAUAUACAACCCCAAUACCAAAAAAGUUGGGACGUUGUGUAAAAUGUAAAUAAAAACAGAAUGCAAUGAUUUGCAAAUCUCAUAAACUCACGUUAUUCACAAUAGAACGUCAAAAACAUAUCAAAUGUUUAAUUUGAGUAAAUGUACCAUUUUAAGAUAAAAAAAAAAGUAAUGUUGAAUUUGAUGGUCGCAAAAUGUCUCAAAAAAGUUGGGACGGUGCAACAAAAGGCUGGAAAAGUAAGUGUUACUAAAAAGAAACAGCUGGAGGUUAAUUGGAAAUAGGUCAGUAAGAUGAUUGGGUGUAAAAAGAGUAUCUUUUUAUAGAGGCAGAGUCUUUCAGAAGUAAAGAUGGGCAGAGGUUCAUUAACGAAUGUGAAAAACUGCAUCUACAAAUUGUGGAACAAUUUCAGAAUAAUGUUCCUCAAUGUAAAAUUGAGAAAGACUAUGAAUAUCUCAUCAUCUACAAUACCUAAUAUCGUCAAAAGAUUCAGAGAUUCUUGAGAAAUCUCUGUGCACAAGGGACAAGGGUGAAAAUCAGUAUUGCGUUGCCCGUGAUCUUCGGGCCCUCAGGUGGCACUGGAUUAAAAAACAGGCAUGAUUCUGUAAUGGAAAUCAGUGAAAUCAGUGCAGAAACACCUCCAGAACUCAUUGUCUGUGAACACAGUUCGCCGUGCCAUCCACAAAUGCUGCUUAAAGCUCCAUCAUGCAAAGAAGAAGCCAUAUGUGAACAUGAUCCAGAAAUGCCGCCGUCUUCUCUCGGCCAAAGCUCAUUUAAAAUGGACUGGGGAAAAGUGGAAAACUGUUCUGUGAUCAGACGAAUGGAAGUUUUAAAUACUUUUUGAAAAACCAUAGACACUAAACUAAAGAGGACUAAAGAGGAGAGGGACCAUCCGGCUUCUUAUCAGUGCUCAGUUCAAAAGCCUGCGUCUCUGAUGGUAUGGGAGUGCAUUAGUGCCGAUGGAGUUGGCAGCUUGAAUACUGAGAAAUGCACCAUCAAUUCUGAAAGGUAUAUACAGGUUUUAUAGCAACAUCCAGAUGCUUCCAUCCAGAUUCCAUCCCAUCUUUACUUCUGAAAGACUCUGCCUCUCUAAGAUACUCUUUUUAUACCCAAUCAUGUUACUGACCUGUUGCCAGUUAACGUAAUUGGUCGCAAAAUGUUCCUAAUAAAUAAAUAAAUAAAUAAUAAUGAUGAUGAUAAUGAUGAUGAUUAUAACAUCACACUUUAUAUGACACAGUAAAGAUGUAUAAAUAUAUAAGCAGCAGAAUGGAAAUGGCAUCUUUUAUGGUCUGGAAAUAGAUGGUACAUAUCAACUUUGCAGUAAGAAUAAGGCAUACAGUCUUCGAUCAGACGAGCGCAACACAGUUUCAGCGAUGUGUUAUAACAUUGCCCUCCCGCGACCGUCCCCAUGACUGCUCUGCACCUUGAGGCUUUUUAAAUAGGACAAAGGAGAAGGUGAGAGGAGCCACACUUGUGUAGUCUUGCAGCUGUUUAUUUGAUAUUACCCUGUUUAUCUUGGGUGUUAAACUUUGUCAGAGUUUGCUUUUCCUGUUGGUUCUUAGCACAGGGCACCAGAUCUGCCUCAUCAGUGUGACCUUUGUGUUUGACCUGUCUCACAACCUCCGACCACAAACACACUCCAGCCUGAAAGACAGUGUGAAUGGGAUCCUGUUCAGAUCUGAUCUGUGAUCUCUAAACAGAUUUAAAAAAAAAUAAAAAUCUUUGUUGUGUUAUUGAACUUUCUUUAAAUUUCUGCAUAUAAUUGUGUCACAUUGUAGCGUUGUGACUCAUUUCAAAGGCAGUAAAUAACUAACUUUCUCAACACUGCUCAGUAGCUCCUACCAGUGGAAUGAUCUGAUACUGCAGCUGGAAAGCAGGUCAGCUGUAUUAUUCCACAGGAUGAGGCAUGAGAAUUGAAGAGUUUCAUUUAAUAACAAUUACUGUAGAACCAAUAAUACACGAUUGUUAUAUUAUUUUGUGUAGUCUAGAAUACGUUUAUCAGGACAAACCAUAUCAUGCAAGUCUCUUUAUUUAUCUCUAUAACCAUAAGCCAGCAGAUGAAAGCAUGAGGCACACUUUGGACAUGAGGUAAAUAGGAACAUAACAGGAACAGAUUUUCCCUCAUCAGAUGUACCUAGCCUUUGUUUGGAAAAGUGGGCCCUUGUAUGAAAUUGUAGCGCCCCCCCCCCCCCCCCCUUCUUUUUUCCAGUUGCUGUCUCUCAUCUUUCGUUUGCUUUGUCAGACCUGUGCCAGUGUUUCCUGAUAGUUGAGUAAUUACUUGUAAGAGAUAGCACUCCUACAGUGCUGUACUCCUAAUCGCACCGGCUGGUCUCCACUGCAGAUCAUUCGGAGGAUAAACAUGCUAGUUUAACAGCGCCAUAAACACCACUUUCGUCUGUAUCUAUGUGCGUGUGAUGUCCUGCACUAGCCCCCAUUUGUAUGCACAACAAAUGAGUCCAAGCACAGCCAUGUUCAGCUUUUAAAAGAUGACCAACUGUUACAUAGCAGGCUCACAGCUGAUGAUAGGAUGAUCACUGACAAUUUAGUGUGUUUGUUUCUUCUUCUCAGCAUCUCUCUUUUGCAGGGCAAACGCUGCUAGUGAAAUACGUUUGGCAUGCCACAAGUGUUUUGCGCUUCAAGCUACAGUUGCACACACAACUGAAACGUAUAUUGCUUUGAAAGCCUGACAUACAUUUCUGACAGUAAUUGACUGGAAUGUUCAUGUCACACCAGUGCACCCACAGAGACAGUUACUCGUUCCCUGUUACUUGUCUAACAUCCUCUCAUCUCACACAGGCUCCUCAUUGUAAUCCCCAAAACACACACACACACACACACACACACAAUUACACACACACUCCCAACAGUUAGCUAGCCCACUUUUGAACAGACAACCCCCCUCUCCCGGUUGCUUAUGAAGUCUGAAUCAGGGUUCAGUGUCUCAUCCACCAGCGGGGAUCUAAAUAUUCCAUUACAGUAUGUGUUUUCAUGCAAUUGUCCAAAAACAGGACGAAGAGCCGUAAACGAUAUACCAGUAGAGGCAUCAUAUAAUGUAGCAGACCUCCAUACAGUUCUCUGUCUCCUUCUCACUUACAUGUGUUCUCUCUCUCUCUCUCUCUCUCUCUCUCUCUCUCUCUCUCUCUCGCUCUCUCUCACACCUCACUUACAGACAAUAAUCUCUCAGGACAUCCCUUGAUAUCCCAUAAGAACCCCACCCAGGAGGAAGAGUAACCCGAGAGCCCGUUUCUCAGGCUGUGUGUAUGUGUCUUCAGUGAAACUGUAGUAAUGUGAGACUGGCAAGUGAGGAAGCAGCACUGUAAACAGUACACAGUCAUUAACAGUGUGAAACCAGACACUGACAGUGAUCACUCCACAGUUUCUUUCAGUCUCCUUCUCUCUCCGUCUCUCUCUCUCGUAACAUCUCCUUAUAUGAGAAGAUGACAAGGAUGAGAAGAAGUUACUGAUGCCCUGAUGGAGAUAAUCUUUUUUUGUGUGUUUUUUUUUUUUCUUUUUCACAAAGAUGUCCAGUAGAAGCUCUGUGUUUCAGGAUGAUUUAACAAGUGUAUAAAACACCGUGGACUGAUUUUAUGAUUAUAAACAGUUUAUUUGUAUAAUAAUGAAUUCCUCCAGAAUCUCUGCUGACUCUAGUGGAAAAAGAGAUCGUACUUCAAUGAAGGAUUAGCCUAUAAAUAUAUUUUUGUUUUCCAAUAUUUAAUAUCUAAUUUGUCUCACAUAUAGCAGUGCCCAAUUUUAAUUAUUUACCUAGCUUAGCAAAGAAAUAUCAGCAGACAUCUGUCUAUACAGACUGAAGGCAACAUUUUGUCUUGCCAAUCACAAACUUGAUCUAAUCUAAUAAUCAAAGUGCAAGUUACACAGCAAAAUCCAGAUAAAAAAAGUAAACCAUACAUGCCACUAUAACGUAAAUAAGGUUAUAUUCACAGUACGAGAUUUUGUGUAAAUACACAUAUAUCCUCAUAAUAUAGGUAAUUAUGCAUAUCUUUAUAGUGAUCAUCAGUAAGAGAAGUAUCACUGGGUAAAAAUCUUUUUUUUUUUUCGUUUAAAACAAAUCAUUUGAAUAUUAUAUACAAAUACGAUAAUAUACACAAACACACACACACUAUCUAAGAUCCUGCACUAUAUCUAGGCCACUAAUUAAAUUUAAGCAAAUUUAUGAUAUUGACAUUGUUGCAUCCUUUGUACAAAAUGCCCGAUUUUCCUUGAUUUUGAUCUCUUCUACUGAGGCACAUGUUCAGAUGACACUGCUAUAUGAUCGAACACUUUCUGUAUAAUACUAAUUCUGAUAUUCAUGUCAAUUCUACUUUCCAGGGUGUAAUAUUUAACUUUGACUCAUUUUAUUGCGGAUAAUAUCAUUUGUCAUUUAAAAAAAAUGUUUUAAAUUAGAAAAGAAUGCCAAAUGAAAGCAUUUUCACUAGCGGGUUCAGACGUCUGGAACCCCACCGUACAUACAUUAUAUUAUAGUUGCAUGUAUACUGUAGCUUAUGUGUAACUACACAGGUUUUACAGACACUUAAAAUAAAUUUGGCAGGUAAUAUAAACUGUGUAGUUUUGAUUUGUAUUGUAGAAAUAUUUGAAUAUCAGCAGAUAUACGGCUCAUUCAAAGGAAAUUAUAUACGUAAGUAAUACACUAGUUACUUUAUAUGUUGCUUCUGGAAAUCAGUGAGAGUUUAAUCAGUUAGGCAAACUGUGAAGAAGCAGUGAGUCAGCUGUGUUGUGGGACGCAGAGAGUGAGACAGGUGGACAGCACACGGGCAGUUACUGUAUGGGAUAGACAACAGGAAGACAGACAGACAGACAGACAUGGAGAGAGACAGGCCUGUGGACAGGCAGCAGCAGGGGUAGGAGCCUGAGUGUCCGCUCCGGUGGCAGAGGAACAGAUGUGUGGUGAAUCUUUAACUUCUCUCGCUCCCCACUGUCACUGCAUCUGUGCACAGCCCCGCCUGGUCAGUGGAGCCUCCUCCUGCGUGAAAAAAGCGAACAAUAACAGCCUGCCGGUGCACUUAUUGAUCAUCACUGCCCUGCGCAGAUUACUGAUAUUUAAUAGCCUGUAGGAUGAUUAAUACUCAAUGCCUGUUGAAUGCCUGCUGGAACCUUUAUCCUGUUGGUUCUGAAUCUAAAGGAAUGUGCAUAUUGUUGAUCUCUUGAAAAAAAACAACAACAACAACAACUGUUCACUCUUUCUAAUGAUUUCCCUUAACUAGUCUGAGUUAAUUAUGGGAUGACAAACAGAUUAAGCAGACUAGAUAUCUGGUACUGUGACCGAUAUAAUGAAAACAUACCUAAAAUUAUGAUGUGUGUCUGUAUUAAUAUCUCAUCCACAAGAAUGCAAACUGUUGCUUGGAUUAAUGUCACAGGCUCAUUAGUGUGUGACAGGUAUUUAACCAUCACGCAGAGUGUAAAAGCUUAAGUACACUGAAGCAGCAUCAUGUCUGAUUGUCCCCUCUCUAACCCCGUAUGUGAAAUAACAGCGAUGUCACUGGAAUAAUACUCUGUAAGUAGCGUUUUAUUGUCAUUUAUGUGAUCAGCCAUAAUCCCCUUAGACGUCACACAGUAAAUAGUAGGGGGAAAGCUAUCUCUCCAUAGUGCUCUCUUUCUCUCGUGCUCCAGCACCCGUGGUUUAUUUUAAUUGAAAAUUAGCAAAACAAAACAAGGGCAAGAGGCUCCCUGAAUGACCCCCCUUUUCCCUGGGAGCUCCUGGGCCGUUGAAUAAUGCAUAUGGGAGAGAGUAAACAGCAGCGGUGGCUCUGGCCCCGGAACAAUGGGUCCGCUCUGAUUUUAUUAGCGAGCUGUCAAUCCUCCCCCAGCCUGGGAAGCGUGGGACUACGGCCAGGAGGCAGCUGCUGACCGCCUCACACUGACCUGCGCACUCGGGCCCAAUCCAGCCGGCUGCUUCCACACACUGUGCUGCAUCCUGCAUGCCUCCACACACCCCACCUUGACACACACAUGCAUUAGUGGCUGACCAUACUUAUCUGAUGUGCCUAACUAGUCCUUUACACAAAUGAAAUGUUGCAAAGUGAUAUAAUUAGGCUUGAAUUAUUGGAAAUUAGAGCCUAAUAUAAUCCUGCAUGCCUAUACACACCCUUCAGGGACCUCUAAAGUAUACACCUAAACCUUUGAACCAAAACAACAGAAUUAGCAGUUUUAGAUUGUUGAAGUAAUACGUAGGAUGCAUGAGUUGGGUUAUUAUUAAUACUAGAUAUAAAACUGUGACAUAUGGCAAUCCUUGCAUUCGCACUCAUUUCUGUUUGUGAAUUGUGGCACAGCGAAGGGUCACAGAGGACAUUUUUAAACUUCUCUCCUUCACUUUCAUGCUCUCCUUCAGCUAUUGAGAUUCCAGUCCUGCUUCUUGGCUUCGGCCUGCGGUUGUUGCCAUGCCAACCAGCAAAUUGGUUAGCAGGAUGAGUAAUGAUGGGAUGUGGUGGAGCUGGAAGGAACCAACAAAGAACUUAUUACAGCUGGGUCUUUUCAUAGGGCAACCAUUGUUGUCAAGUGUACCUGAUAUUAACCUGCCUCAGCCAGGGCUUCCUAUCCUCAUGAGCUGUGUGUGUGUGUGUGUGUGUGUGUGUGUGUGUGUGUGUGUGUGUGUGUGUGUAAAUGCGUAAGUGUGUACUGCCAACUAUCAUAGAGACGAGCAAUGUUCUGAAUGUACUAUUCCUGAUUGCACUUCUUUGCCCUCUCAUCAACUUGCCUUUCUUACUGUAAGGUGCAUCAAGACACUUUUUUUUUGUUUCUGUUUAGUCUAAACAGAAAACUAUUUUCUGUUUCACUUUAAAAUACCGGUUCCACUUCCAGAAAAACAAGGGACAAAUUCUCCAGAACAACCUUUCCUACAUAACUUGUCCCACCCUGGACCAGUGCAACUGUGAACUCAUGGUGCACAAAUUUUUCGGUCAGUUGGCCAAAACAUACUUUCAGCAUAUAAACAAUACAUUUUUGAGUAAAACACUGUCGCAUGAUGUGAUUGGAAAACAGUUGAGUCAAACCAGAAUGAAAACCACAGAUUUGAUUUUAUUUUUUUAAAUCCACUUGCAGAUAAUGGCCCCAAUGUUGCUUACUGGAGGAUUCAGAAAUUUUGAAGUACGUCUGUAUCCGAUUCCAUCAAUCUGUUCUGCAACAAUAAGGUUGUGAAGGUCUUGGGAGAGCUCUUUGCUUUUACCCAUCAUGAGAUGUUUCUUGUGUGACACCUUGGUAACAAAAAGCCUUUUUAUAACCAUCAAUUUACUGCUCCAGCUGAUAUUAAUUUGCACAGAUAGGAUUUAUAAUUACUUACGGAUUUCAGCUGGUUCCUUGUGUUACCUUGCCUCGGAGAACUGCUUUUUCUUAGAGUUUUCAACACUUAUUCCUGUAAUUCCACUUUAUUACACAUAACUUUAUUUAUGGACUUUAAUGUUGUAACUUGGGGUUAUUCUCCAUGUCUGUAUGGGUUUCCUCCGGGGUUAUCUGGUUUCCUCCUGCCUCCCAAAAAUCUUCAAUAGGUGGAUUGUCUUUGCUAAAUUGCAAUGAACUGGCGUCCCAUCCAGGGUAUAUUAUCUCCUCACACCUAGUGUUCCAGGGAUACUCUCUAGAUCCACCAUAACCCUGGUCAGAAUAAAGCAGUUACUGAAGAAAAACCAGUGUAUUCAAUUUAUAUACAGUAUAAAUCUAUUUAUUUUUAAAACACAUUUUUAUACAGUAUAUAAUCAGUUGUAUGGCUUUAUGCCAAUCUUCAUGAGCUUUAAAUCUCUCUGUAAAAUCUUAGUGAAGGUAGAUCAGCACUGGUGUAUUUAAGAAAUAGACAGUAAGAUAUGAGAUAUGAGUCGCUCCAGGAUUUUGCGAUUUUGUGGUCGCGGAAAUGAACACAGAGUCAAGGAAACAGCAAUAUUCAGAGGGGCUUGCAAUUUUUCAAAAUCACAGCAGAUUUUCCGCAGAUUUUUGGGCCAAGAUGUGUCAUGUGACGCCAUUACAGCGAACCACGUGACGUCAUCACAAUAUGCAUUCAGCCAAAGCCCUCUCUGAUUCACGUGUGUUGAUCAUGAGUACAGCUAAAAGGUCUCAUUUACCAACAAACAUCACAGUGAAAGACUAUUUCUUGCAAUUGCAAUUUCGCCAACUCAAGCAGUUUCUCACAAAAAACUGCAAAUUUUGACAGAGAAAUCACGCAUUUUGGCCAUAACAAUCAUACGAAGCUCAGCGAAACCCUGUCUGGACUGCCUUAAGUGACAGAACAUAGACAUCAAUUUGAAAUUAGACCCACUGUCUUUUUAUUUCUCUCCAAUCAAGCGUUUAGUUUCGGUGUCUUUUUGUGCCGAAUGAUUUGAAAGUGUCUUCCAAGAGAUUGCGAGACCUGAGAAAUUGCUGUACGUGGUGUUAUUGUGAAAACACACACAUGCAUACGCUAACAUCAAACACCCCUCCGAGCCGGUGAAGAGUCCACACCCUCCCUUUGCUCCCACUGAGGUGUGAAGGGUGUAAAAGCGUUCAGCUACUGGGUCAGGAGGAGAGAAAGAUCAGUCAUUGACGCAGGAUGUUUUAGUAUUUGACGUUGGUUUAACAACCUCCUCUGUCCAGACCCCCAGGCAGGAGGGAGAUGAGUCAGAGAUGGUGGAUUACACCAUACCCGCUCCCCUGCCUGACCUAUUGUUCUGCUUAUCUUUAGCCUGGCCUAUCUGCUGACCUGCAGCCUGGGACAGUGGGGGCUACAAUACCAAAUUCAAUUACUUCAGCUUCAUUUAGGAACUCUGAGGAAGUGCUGCACCUAAUUAGUGUGUCAGCAUAUUGGUGUUAAUACAAAAGUGUCUCAGUUUGGGCUCUGGUGUGUGAUUGAACUGGAGUUUCCCACCACAGAGCCAAAAUGUGCUUUGUGGUGUUUAAUGAAGAGCGUAUACAUUUUAUGGUACAGUCUGAUAGUAGCACAUGAGUAACAUUUGUAUCACAGUUACGGUUGGAAUUUAUGAUAAUAAUAAUUGCAGGAACAUGUUUUAAUUAGGUAAUUACCUAAUCAGGCUUUAUCAAGUCAUUAAGCGUACAUUUUUACUCUGAUAUUUUGACCACAAUCGUUUUUUGAGUUUAUUAUCAGUAGGUGUAGUUAGUGAGCCUUCUCUGUUUAAUUCAACAGUUUUAUAGUUAACGGGGCCUUUUUUUCUAAUCCAUACAGCUGAAGCUGGUCAGUUCCCCAGCAUCAUCAGAGUGCAUUGUCCUCAUUGUCCAUCACUGUUCAGUGUCUGGUCAUGGGGGAGCCCUGCAACCACCCACCCAGACUGUUCACCGUGGGAAGCAGCACAUCAAGAAGAAUUGUGCAUGUUUGGCUCAGGUAACAUGGUGGGGUGGAGGGGGGAGGGGGGCAGCAUGGAUGGCUAGAUGAAGAAAUAAUGAAAGAGAGACAUACAGAGAGAAAUACAGAGAGGUGUGUAACCCUGGGGUGGUAGAAUCAGAAAGAUGAGCAUGAGCCUCUGAGGUCUCUUCUAUGUGUUUCUGUUAGUGUACAUGUUUACCAAUAUUCAUAUGUGCAUUCAUGUUUGUGUUAUUAUGUGCAUGUGUGGGUAUGUGUGGGUAUGUGUGUGUGUGUGUGUGUGUGUGUGUGUGUGUGUGUAUGUAUGUGGGAUGGGGCAUCCCUUGGGAAAUAGAACUGUGGGAAUAUGCGUACCAAACAGGACUACUGGUCCCAAGGGAGCACCUCUCUUUCCGGGAGCCACACACACACACACACACACACACACACACACACACACACACACACACACACACACACACAAACACACAUACAAACAGAGGCACAAGGCGAAGGUUUCAAGUACCGGUAUUCCCUUACAUGGCUAAUUCGAUAUCAUUUUCUGCUUGUACAGUGCAAGACACACACACACACACACACACACACACACACACACACAAAAGGUCAGCAGUGGCUCAACAACUAGUAGCCCCUUUACUCCAGGAACAACAUACACUCUUCCCCCUACAGAGAUGAGAAAUGGACACGGUGUCACUCAAAGCCUAGCGCUGCUCGACAAACAGAUCACUGAAAAGCCUUUUGUAUUAGUGUGUGUGUUCCUGUGUGUUUAGGUGUUCAAGUUCUUAUCACACUCUGCAUGUAUGAUCAUUGUACUGUAUUUAUCUUUUUUUUUCUUUUUGGAAAAGAGAAUUAUUUAUUAAAGAAUAAAUACUUGCCAGGCAAUUAAUUGCCAGGAUUGAUAAUAACUCUUUGAUCAUUUUUUAUUUAUUGGACUACUUUAUUGAUCAUUUGUGCCCACCUAACCUCUGUCCACCACGUCUGUAGCUAGUGUUCAGUAACCACAGACAAUUAUUUUGAAACAUUUUCCAGUACUGAGAAAAGUCCCCCUAAGUCACUUAUAAUGGAACUCUAAGGGCAGCUGAUCAACUACGUCCCUCAAUAAACUAUAUAUAACUCAAAUUCAAAACAAGGGUUACAAUCUUAAAAUAAACUAGGAUAAGACAGACAUGAAAGAAUGUCUUACCAAAGCUGUUUUUACAGAAGGGUGCCAAAAUAAAUGGAAAACUGGUGGCGCUGUUAUUCAUGUUGGGAGAAUUUUGCUGGCAUGGUUUGUGUCCACUUGUCCCCAAAUUAAUUCACUGUUCACCUUUAUCAUAUGAUGAUACAUUCCUAUACUAAUGAAAGUCCUCUCUUUAUCCACACCUUCAUCCACAAUACAUGAGGGCUUAAUGAAUGGUUUCAUGCAGAUGAAUAUUAAGUAAAUGAUAUUCUAUGGCCUUUAAGGUCACCAGAUUUCAACCCAAUUGUAAACACAUAGGAGAGUUUGGAGUGACGUGUUAGAUAGGGCUCGCCACUAUCAUCAUCAUGAAGUGGAAAAAAUAUCUUUUGGAAGAAUGGUGUUAUUUGCUCGAGUGCAGUUCCAGAGACUUGUAGUCCCGUUGAAGCUGGUGGAUUGUUGUAGCCCAACACCUUACUAAAACACUUUAUGUUGAUUUUUCCUUCAGUAUGUCUGUACAUAGUUUUAUCCAACUUUCCAAAACUGGACCAACAUAGUAACCACAGGUUUUGUGGUAUUCCUCAAUCAGGUGGGAACUGGGGAACAUUCAUAGACGUAUCUACAUUCUAGUUCUCUGUAAAAGAAGCCCCAUAUCUGAAAAGAAGAAUUAUUACAAAGAAAUAUGUUACAAUUAUUGUCCCUGUUAAUUGCACAUAUAGAUGCAAGGUGAAAAAAUGCUAGCAUGCUAGCAUGUAUAUCAAAGCUGAAAUGCCUUAGAUUAUCUCUAUUAAAUGCAUUUUAGAAGUUAUUAUUGCCAUACAUAGUUUUCAUUUUAUAAUUAUGUCUGUUUCUGCACAUUACUCAGCACACUGGCAUGAGUGCAGAACAGUACAUUCACUAUGCUGAUAAACUGUUCCUGUUUUACACCUGCUGAUUUAUAGAUUAGAUUAAAUCUGGGAAUGGCAUAGAGGAUUACACCACUGCUGCUUUCCAUGGAGCAGAAAAAACACCUUGUCUGCUGCAGCAUGAGGCAGAGCCUGAAGGUCAGGGGGUCUUGUUUACCUGGGGCAGGCAUUUCCUCUGUGGGCUGAUAAGAGCAGGACAGGGGAAGUGCUCUGUCACAGGUGAGUGGAGAGAGAGAGAGAGAGAGAGAGAGAGAGAGAGAGAGAAAGAGAGAGAGAGAGAGAGAGAGAGAGAGAGAAGGAAAAGGAGGCAUUAGGAAGCCACCUAUGAUAACUGCUCUUAUAAACAUCGAAACAAACUAAACCAUCCUCAGAUAAGGCCAGGUAUGUGAUGUCUGGAUGCAGACAGACAGACAGCUCGAGCAUAGUUUAGAUGGCAUAUAUAUAUAUAUAUAUAUAUAUAUAUAUAUAUAU